rnacentral:rRNA from 1 species
GUAGGUGGCAAGCGUUGUCCGGAAUUAUUGGGCGUAAAGCGCGCGCAGGUAGGUUCUUUAAGUCUGAUGUGAAAGCCCCCGGGCUCAACCGGGGAGGGUCAUUGGAAACUGGGGAACUUGAGUGCAGGAGAGGAAAGUGGAAUUCCACGUGUAGCGGUGAAAUGCGUAGAUAUGUGGAGGAACACCAGUGGCGAAGGCGACUUUCUGGCCUGUAACUGACACUGAGGCGCGAAAGCGUGGGGAGCAAACAGGAUUAGAUACCCUGGUAGUCCACGCCGUAAACGAUGAGUGCUAAGUGUUGGGGGGUUUCCGCCCCUCAGUGCUGCAGCUAACGCAUUAAGCACUCCGCCUGGGGAGUACGGUCGCAAGACUG